GCGCGCAUAGCUCAGUUGGUAGAGCAGUGGCCUCUUAAGCCAACGGUCGGAGGUUCAAAUCCUCCUGCGCGCACCA
rnacentral:tRNA from 1 species